CAGUAGCAGGGACAGGCAGGGGGCGCCCGGCCCAGUCACUCCAGAGACCCUCGGCCCAGCGCCUCUUAAAGAGACAGUGACAGAGGUUAGAACAAUUGGCCGGUCCAGACCUCCGCUCAACCUCCGCCAGGGAGCAGCAUCGCGCGCAGCUGGGGGCCACUGUUGUGUGUGUUGCAGGGGCUAGAGAGAGAGACUGCGCGUGCACACACAGAUGGGGACACACGCAGUAAGAUGGGCACACACACUCGGAUCCAGAGGAGGACACACACACACACACACACAGAUAUAGGCAGGCGCGCACACACACACACAAACACAAAGGUACGAAUAAACACACACACACUUUCCCACCCUAGCUCCGGAUCCCCAGUUCAAAGAGAAGCGGCCUCACUCCCCGGCACUUCAUUUCCCCCCAGAAGUCGAAUCGGUGGCGGCGGUUCAUUGUCUUUCCCCAGUGGUUACAGAAAUGGGGGGAUCUCUGUGGCUGUGUCUCUGCGCGCUGCCACUGUUCCCAGGUUCGGUGGCGGGGAACUCGCUAAUCCAGAUCCCGCCUUCCCUGCCAGCCACGGAAGGGCAGCGGGUGGAGAUCAGGUGUCAAUACAGCACCUCCUACACCAGCUAUGCCCUGGACUGGUACCAGGAGCAGCUGGGGAAGCAGGCUCGCUUCCUAAUCGGGAGGUUUUCCUACGGCUUGGAGCGCAAAUCCAGUUUGGUGGCACCUCGGUUCUCCGCGCGGCUGGACACGGGAGCGAAGACUGUCAAGCUAACCAUAGAGGGGGCGCAGCGGGCUGACUCGGCGGUGUAUUUCUGUGCUCUCUGGGAGCCACCGUGCUGCAGAGCGCACCGGGCUCCGGACACAAACUGCCGCGGGAGCGCAGGUGUCUGAAAGGCGGUUCAGUGCCGUUCCAGCUCUCAGCCCAAGUCGGCACGUGGAGAGACGCUUCCGAGCUCCUGGAAAAGCGGUUCUGGAGGACGCAGGGAGAUGAGAGGCGUGGCGGUCUAGCAGCUACGACACACGGAAGAAGCAACACGACCUGAAUGUUAGAGACGGGCAGCUGAGGUGCAGAGGCCGAAGAGACGUGGCCUAGAACCUUCCCAAGUGCAAAAAUCUUCUGCAACAAUGAAGGCUUGGGCUGAUGACCAGUGGCUGCAGAACUUUUGGAUGGUCCACAUUUCUGCAUCUUUGUGCAAAACUCACCAAAAUAAAAGCUGCACUGACAGUGGAGAAGAAAAAAUAAUUGUACUACGGGGAUCUGCAACACCAGAUUAUUAUUGGUCAGUCACUGUUCCCUCUCCUAAACUAAGAUGGAAUGGAUUUCUUUAAUUUUCAAGACUGUGAGCUAAGAUCAUCAGUGAAGACUCAGGAGUUCAAGCUUCCUGGAGUGGAUUCUUCAGAUUUCCAGACAACGAUUUUCUUCCAAAAAGUUGCACCAAGCAAAAAAUUACCUCAAUACACAUAACGGCAAGGAAAUCUUUUGAAGAAAAAAUUGCAAAUGUUUUGGCAUACAUAAGGAAUAGCACAUAUCCUGAAGGAAUGAAUAAAGCAGGCAGAAUGAACCUGCGUCGAUAUGCUGUCAACUUUUCAUUGGAAGGUAAGGAUUAUUUGUUUUAAGAUAGUACUGACACAUAACACAGGAAACUUCAGCCUGUAAAUGAUGGUCAUGAUGUCCCAACACUGGGAUUAUUUGGAGUGUUAACCUUACCUUCAAUGGG